rnacentral:rRNA from 1 species
AGAGUUGAUCAUGGCUCAGGACGAACGCUGGCGGCGUGCCUAACACAUGCAAGUCGAGCGAGGAGAUUCCUUCGGGAUGAUCCUAGCGGCGGACGGGUGAGUAACACGUGGGCAACCUGCCUCAUAGAGAGGAAUAGCCUUCCGAAAGGGAGAUUAAUACCUCAUAACAUUGCAGUUUCGCAUGGAACAGCAAUUAAAGGAGUAAUCCGCUAUGAGAUGGGCCCGCGGCGCAUUAGCUAGUUGGUGAGGUAAUGGCUCACCAAGGCGACGAUGCGUAGCCGACCUGAGAGGGUGAUCGGCCACAUUGGGACUGAGACACGGCCCAGACUCCUACGGGAGGCAGCAGUGGGGAAUAUUGCACAAUGGGGGAAACCCUGAUGCCAGCAACGCCGCGUGAGUGAUGACGGCCUUCGGGUUGUAAAGCUCUGCCUUCAGGGACGAUAAUGACGGUACCUGAGGAGGAAGCCACGGCUAACUACGUGCCAGCCGCCGC